rnacentral:misc_RNA from 1 species
GACGAACUGCGCAAACGUUAUUCGGAAUCACUGGGCUUAAGGAGUCCGUAGGCGGCCUGGUAGGUGGGGUGUGAAAGCCCUCGGCUCAACCGAGGAAUUGCGCUCCAAACCAUCAGGCUAGAGGGAGAUAGAGGAGAGCGGAACUCACGGUGGAGCGGUGAAAUGCGUUGAUAUCGUGAGGAACACCGGUGGCGUAAGCGGCUCUCUGGGUCUCUUCUGACGCUGAGGGACGAAAGCUAGGGUAGCGAACGGG